AAAUAAGAUGUGGAAGAAGAAGAAGAGUCGGAAUAUACGUGUGCCAUAUUUUAUACAUGAUCUACCUCCAUCGCUGGACACAAUGAAGUCAUGUAUUUAUUGCUUUCCUAAUAUAUGUUUGUCCAUUUGGGUAAAUGGUAACGAAAUUAGAUACUUGUUUUACACACAGCUCCAUAUGCAGCUAUAGGCGGUGGAGUUGCAGCAACAGUAGUGGUAGUGUCUAUCAUCAUCAUUCUCGUUUAUAGAUGCAAGUGCAAGCCGAAACAAGACCCAAACUAUGGUUCUGGUCUCGAGAAGAUUGCUGAUGGAGAAGCACCACCUCCUGGGUACAAGACUACGAUUGUGGCUUUCCCCGAAGCCUCUGGCUGUGACACCUUGCGCAUGAACAUGGAGAACGACCAGCAAGGCGAGAUCGAGAAUGAAUAUUCAACGCCCCGAAUGAAGAGAGGGACCAUGGAGGCAGAGUAUGUCAACAUGAAGACCAGAGACAAUCAAGUAGUCAUGGUAACGGAGGAUAUCUACGAAAACAUGGCGGACGAUGCUGCACGUAAACACGCCGUAACUUCGAAGGAAGCGGAAUAUUCGGUUGUAAUCUAAAGCUCAAUUGAGGGAAAUCUGAUUUCAUGAUUUUAUAGGCUCAAAGUUCAUGCUGAAGAACAUCCCGGAAAGCUUCAUUACAUAGUUUGUGAUGCUCAGAUCACCCCUGGCCUGCAAAUAAAUGCCGGUGUUGUCAUCGAUUCGAACUCUAAAUCAUAAUAUAUCCCACACAGUCAUGUAUAGCCUUUAGAUUCCAACUCUGCAACCCUUCACACAUCCGAAGAUUUUGUCUCAACUCCCUGCUGACUUGACGUGUAAGGCUACUGAAACCUUGGGCUUGUUCAUUCCCUUAUAUUUUCCCGCUUAGGCUUUUAAAUUCGCUUCCGAUACAAUAUUCCUGACUACCAGCUGCAACGCCACUAAAAACUCCUUCAGAACUCAGAGGUCAGACAUGUAGCGCUCGUAAGGCGCGACUUACAUCUCACCCAUCCUUCAGGCACGUACUCCGCACGGUGACUCCGCUCCAGCUGCUCACACCCAAGUUGUUUACAUUCCAAGUUCACGGCACUCUAUGGGAAGGCGAUCGCUUUCAAGUUUUGGUCCUGAACUGUGGAACACACUCCCUCCUCACCUCCAUCCUCACCUCUAAAAUGGAUUUACCUCUCCAUGUUUCGUAUUUCAUUCUACAUGUAUAUAGUAUAUGAAACUUGCAUUGAGGUAUGGAGGAAGAAAUUACAACAAGAUAAUCAGUUAAAUUAUACUGGAGGCGCACACAAGUAGUUAAUUCCAGUCAACUUAAUUGUAUUGUAUUA